rnacentral:rRNA from 1 species
CCUACGGGGGGCAGCAGUGAGGAAUAUUGGUCAAUGGGCGCAAGCCUGAACCAGCCAUCCCGCGUGCAGGAUGACGGCCCUAUGGGUUGUAAACUGCUUUUGUACACCAAGAAAAAGCGCUACGUGUAGCGUCCUGACGGUAGUGUAUGAAUAAGCAUCGGCUAACUCCGUGCCAGCAGCCGCGGUAAUACGGAGGAUGCAAGCGUUAUCCGGAUUCAUUGGGUUUAAAGGGUGCGUAGGCGGCUUUUUAAGUCAGUGGUGAAAUCCUGCCGCUUAACGGUAGAAUUGCCAUUGAUACUGAAGAGCUUGAGUCCAGUUGAGGUAAGCGGAAUGUGUAGUGUAGCGGUGAAAUGCUUAGAUAUUACACAGAACACCAAUUGCGAAGGCAGCUUACUAAACUGGCACUGACGCUGAUGCACGAAAGCGUGGGGAGCGAACAGGAUUAGAUACCCUGGUAGUCCACGCCGUAAACGAUGCUCACUCGCUGUUUGCGAUACACAGCAAGCGGCCAAGCGAAAGCAUUAAGUGAGCCACCUGGGGAGUACGAUCGCAAGGUUGAAACUCAAAGGAAUUGACGGGGGCCCGCACAAGCGGAGGAACAUGUGGUUUAAUUCGAUGAUACGCGAGGAACCUUACCUGGGCUUAAAUGCAGAAUGACAGAUUGUGAAAGCAGUCCUUCUUCGGACAUUCUGCAAGGUGCUGCAUGGUUGUCGUCAGCUCGUGCCGUGAGGUGUCGGGUUAAGUCCCAUAACGAGCGCAACCCUUAUCGUUAGUUGCCAGCGGGUCAAGCCGGGGACUCUAGCGAGACUGCCACCGUAAGUGUGAGGAAGUGGGGAUGACGUCAAAUCAGCACGGCCCUUAUGUCCAGGGCUACCACGUGUUACAUGGCCGAUACAAAGGGCAGCUACCUGGUGACA